rnacentral:rRNA from 1 species
AUUGAACGCUGGCGGCAGGCCUAACACAUGCAAGUCGAGCGGUAACAGGAAUUAGCUUGCUAAUUUGCUGACGAGCGGCGGACGGGUGAGUAAUGCCUAGGGAACUGCCCAGUCGAGGGGGAUAACAGUUGGAAACGACUGCUAAUACCGCAUACGCCCUACGGGGGAAAAGAGGGGACCUUCGGGCCUUCUGCGAUUGGAUGUACCUAGGUGGGAUUAGCUAGUUGGUGAGGUAAUGGCUCACCAAGGCGACGAUCCCUAGCUGUUCUGAGAGGAUGAUCAGCCACACUGGGACUGAGACACGGCCCAG